rnacentral:rRNA from 1 species
GCUUGCAUCAUGAUUUACAUUUGAGUGAGUGGCGAACUGGUGAGUAACACGUGGGAAACCUGCCCAGAAGCGGGGGAUAACACCUGGAAACAGAUGCUAAUACCGCAUAACAACUUGGACCGCAUGGUCCGAGUUUGAAAGAUGGCUUCGGCUAUCACUUUUGGAUGGUCCCGCGGCGUAUUAGCUAGAUGGUGGGGUAACGGCUCACCAUGGCAAUGAUACGUAGCCGACCUGAGAGGGUAAUCGGCCACAUUGGGACUGAGACACGGCCCAAACUCCUACGGGAGGCAGCAGUAGGGAAUCUUCCACAAUGGACGAAAGUCUGAUGGAGCAACGCCGCGUGAGUGAAGAAGGGUUUCGGCUCGUAAAACUCUGUUGUUAAAGAAGAACAUAUCUGAGAGUAACUGUUCAGGUAUUGACGGUAUUUAACCAGAAAGCCACGGCUAACUACGUGCCAGCAGCCGCGGUAAUACGUAGGUGGCAAGCGUUGUCCGGAUUUAUUGGGCGUAAAGCGAGCGCAGGCGGUUUUUUAAGUCUGAUGUGAAAGCCUUCGGCUCAACCGAAGAAGUGCAUCGGAAACUGGGAAACUUGAGUGCAGAAGAGGACAGUGGAACUCCAUGUGUAGCGGUGAAAUGCGUAGAUAUAUGGAAGAACACCAGUGGCGAAGGCGGCUGUCUGGUCUGUAACUGACGCUGAGGCUCGAAAGUAUGGGUAGCAAACAGGAUUAGAUACCCUGGUAGUCCAUACCGUAAACGAUGAAUGCUAAGUGUUGGAGGGUUUCCGCCCUUCAGUGCUGCAGCUAACGCAUUAAGCAUUCCGCCUGGGGAGUACGGCCGCAAGGCUGAAACUCAAAGGAAUUGACGGGGGCCCGCACAAGCGGUGGAGCAUGUGGUUUAAUUCGAAGCUACGCGAAGAACCUUACCAGGUCUUGACAUACUAUGCAAAUCUAAGAGAUUAGACGUUCCCUUCGGGGACAUGGAUACAGGUGGUGCAUGGUUGUCGUCAGCUCGUGUCGUGAGAUGUUGGGUUAAGUCCCGCAACGAGCGCAACCCUUAUUAUCAGUUGCCAGCAUUAAGUUGGGCACUCUGGUGAGACUGCCGGUGACAAACCGGAGGAAGGUGGGGAUGACGUCAAAUCAUCAUGCCCCUUAUGACCUGGGCUACACACGUGCUACAAUGGAUGGUACAACGAGUUGCGAACUCGCGAGAGUAAGCUAAUCUCUUAAAGCCAUUCUCAGUUCGGAUUGUAGGCUGCAACUCGCCUACAUGAAGUCGGAAUCGCUAGUAAUCGCGGAUCAGCAUGCCGCGGUGAAUACGUUCCCGGGCCUUGUACACACCGCCCGUCACACCAUGAGAGUUUGUAACACCCAAAGUCGGUGGGGUAACCU